GACGAACCGUGCGAACGUUGUUCGGAAUCACUGGGCUUAAAGGGCGCGUAGGCGGUCUGCCAAGUCAGGGGUGAAAUCCUCCAGCUUAACUGGAGAAGUGCCUUUGAUACUGGCGGACUCGAGUGAGGUAGGGGUAGUGGGAACUUCCGGUGGAGCGGUGAAAUGCGUUGAUAUCGGAAGGAACGCCGGUGGCGAAAGCGCACUACUGGACCUCUUCUGACGCUGAGGCGCGAAAGCCAGGGGAGCAAACGG
rnacentral:rRNA from 1 species